rnacentral:ncRNA from 1 species
GGCGGGUUGAUAAGACCUAAUAAAAGACCCUUUACGGGGAAUAAGUCUAGCCGUCUUUUCGCGGUAGUUGAGACCCGCCCACCCUUU